AUUAUAUUCUAUUUAACUACUGAAAUCUGUUACACUUUGUCUUUAUACCAAACUUUCAAAAAAGCAUGGUGGAACACAAACUAUAAAUUUGACUAUCCAACAUAAAGAUAUAAAGUCUUAUUAGAAAAAUUAGUAAAAAACCAAAACAGACAAUAAUGCAAAAUUCAUUUUUACACUCACGUUAAAUUUUUUUAAAAAACCGACGAUAGUUGUUAGUUGUCAUGGAAAUGAAAUAUUGUUUGGCAGACCCAGUUCUACCAGGCAUGCAGAGCGUGCAUGCACGAAGGCAGCCUAACAUAGAAGGCAGCCGCACAGCUCUGGAUUUUUGUCAUCGAAUGUCACUUCAAAGAAAAACUGGCAAGGCAAAUCUGAAACACGUGAACCUUAUGCACGAAUGCAGUACAUUAAUUAAGAAUUUUUUAAUUUUUAGUGUUUGUUUCUACAAUCUUCGAUAUUGUAAAAAACGCAAGUUUAAAUAUAAUUUUGAUUUUGGAAGUCGUUUUACCUGUAAC
rnacentral:lncRNA from 1 species